UUGACAGCCCUGCUGGCUAAAAUCUGCUGUUUACCCACAGAAUGGAACCUUGUGUGCCACAGAAGCUUUCUUAUUCUCAUCACCUACAUGCCGCAGGUCUGCUCUGCCGAAGCACCUCUAGGGGUGAGCGCACGCUUCUGUCUCCAAGCUAAAUUCAGUCCCUGAUCUCU
ensembl:misc_RNA